ACGCUCGACACCUACGGGAGGCAGCAGGUUGGGAAUAUUGGACAAUGGAGGGAAACUCUGAUCCAGUGACGCCGCGUGAAGGAAGAAGGUCUUCGGAUUGUAAACUUAUUUUGUCAGGGAAGAAAAAUGACUGUACCUGAAGAAAAAGCACCGGCUAACUACGUGCCAACAGCCGCGGUAAUCUGAGCGGGCUGGCAAGGC
rnacentral:rRNA from 1 species